AAAAUGCUUAGAAUGUGUCCAUUUUAAUAGGUUUUAAUGCAUAAGACAGUAGAUAGAAUAAAUAUUAGAUAAUAUAAAUAUGAGAGUUUUCUUACAGCCUUAAUCUGUCAUUGUUUCGUUUCAGACUGUCAGUCAAUUUUGGAAGCCUGAAGUGGGUUCAUUUUAAGUUUCCAUAUUCCAUAUGUUAAGAUAUGUUCAGUGUUGCUGCUGUGGAAGUGUUGUGGGUGACUUUUUAUUGAUGCAGGUCUAAUCAUACUUUAAGAGGUUCUCUAGACCAUGCAACUUUUUAAGUUCCUACGGUCCCAUCAUAAUUUCUUAAGAAGUACUGUAUAUGAUGUCAGUAUUUUCCAACAUUUUCUAAAUACUGUACCAGUACUGUGUAAAAUGCCAUCAAAAAGUCAAUUAAGUGUUAUUCUUUCUCA